rnacentral:misc_RNA from 1 species
GCAAUCCAUUUGGAGGAUGGCAAAGUUCUUGUAAAAGCACAAGUUCACCACUCACAGUCUCUUAGAAAAAAGGAACUGAUGCCUUGGGGAAGUAUUAGUAGCAAUAAAACCAUAAUUGCUGGCCAUUGCCAGUGUACAGCUGGGCUUGGUGGUGUUUGCUGUCAUGUUUGUGCAGUUCUUUACAGUGUAAUUAGUGCUACAUCACUACCUUGCACUGCAAAGGAAAAUCAAUGGUUAGACACACACCCCAGACGUUCAGUAGCUCUUAUAAACAAAAUCGCGGAUCUCAAUACCAGGGCCUCCCCGACCCUAAAAUGACAGGAGUGCAAAUUUUUUUUCCCGGCUUUGCCGCCCCUUAAAAAAAUUUAUAUACGAAAACAUAUAGUUGAUUUUAACAUAAGCUUUAGUUAACAUCUGGAUUAGUUAUAUUUCUGGAUAAAUAACAGUAUCACUUAAAAUCAUACACGAUACAAGAUUGCUGAUAAAUGACGAGACACGAGAAUAUCUUGCAAAUUGAAUUGCAAAUCGAAUAGUGAGACUUAGAUCGGCACUUUACGCGAUUUUUUUUGGGCAAAUUCCUCAAUCGCUUCAUUGAGAUCAAUAUUUUCGACAAUUUCUCUUUCGAUUGAAAUCAUUGCUAACCCAUCUAGUUUUUCUUGUCCCAUUAAUGAGCGAAGAUAUGUUUUUAUUAGUUUCAAUUUGCAAAAACUUCUUUCUCCUUGCGCAACAGAAACUGGAAGGGUCAGCAAAAUUCGUAAUGCAAUCACAGUAUUAGGAUAAACUGACGACAAUCCAUUUUGAACGAUAAAGGUCAAGGCAGCAAGAGGACAAGAAUCAAUUAUUUUUCCGUCUUCGCUUGGUAAAGGAAAUCGAUGGGAGAGAGAUCGCAAUUCGAUAAAAAGAUCAUCUGGAGAAAUGUCGCAUUUUUCUCCGACGGACAAUGCGUUAUUUAAGGCAGUACAACAUGUUUUCAAUUGGUAAUCGUCAAGUUUCUGAAUAGUUGGAAUAUCGUAUAGAAAACGGAAAAGAGAAUUGUGUUCAUUUAACAAAUCAAACCUUUCAACGACUGAAUUAAUGGCAGUGUCAAUCACGUAAAAAAAUAUUUCCGUCCGAAACUUAGCCAUUGGAUCCAAAAUCGGUUCAUCUCUUGAUUCAUAAUUGAAUUGACGACGAGUUCGACGAACUCGGACUGUUGGUUCAGAUGGAAAAUUUGGCUCAACUUCUAUUUCUUUUGCAAGUUCUUUACCAGUAGCGAUAACUCCAGCGAAGCCCUCGUCGGAUCUUAGAUUGACGAGAAACUGUUUUGUUCGAUCCAGAUGUUUUGUGGCUUGCGACAAAUCUGUUUCCACUCGUUGAAGAAUUUUACUAGUAACAUUAAUUUCAAAAAGAACAUCAUGCCACAGAACAAGAGAGCAGAUUCGACACUCAAAAUUCCAUUAGAAGAUAUGCGGGGUCAAGGCUAUGACAACGGUGCAAACAUGAGCGGUAGACAUAACGGCGUUCAAAAGCGAAUCCAAGAUCUGAAUCCGAGAGCUUUGUUUGUGCCUUGUAACGCGCACAGUUUGAAUCUCGUUCUUAAUGACGCUGCAAGCUGUUGCGUAGCGGUCGUUUCUUUUUUUGGCAUUAUUCAAGCCCUUUAUGUGUUUUUCUCUUCGUCAACUAAACGCUGGCAAGUUCUUCUUCAAUUUGUCCCUAACCUAACACUUAAGUCAUUAAGUGAAACUCGCUGGGAAAGUCGUAUCGAUGCCAUCAAGCCCCUUCGCUAUCAACUUGGAAAUGUGUAUGACGCCUUACAGCAUCUGGCAAACGAUGAAACUUUAGUGGGGCCCAAUGGAACAAAAACGCGUGCUGACGCAUUUGCACUAGCAACAAACAUCGCCAAAUUCAACUUUAUCUGCUCUCUUGUUCUGUGGCAUGAUGUUCUUUUUGAAAUUAAUGUUGAAUGAAAAUUCUUCAACGAGUGGAAACAGAUUUGUCGCAAGCCACAAAACAUCUGGAUCGAACAAAACAGUUUCUCGUCAAUCUAAGAUCCGACGAGGGCUUCGCUGGAGUUAUCGCUACUGGUAAAGAACUUGCAGAAGAAAUAGAAGUUGAGCCAAAUUUUCCAUCUGAACCAACAGUCCGAGUUCGUCGAACUCGUCGUCAAUUCAAUUAUGAAUCAAGAGAUGAACCGAUUUUGGAUCCAAUGGCUAAGUUUCGGACGGAAAUAUUUUUUUACGUGAUUGACACUGCCAUUAAUUCAGUCGUUGAAAGAAACUUGACGAUUACCAAUUGAAAACAUGUUGUACUGCCUUAAAUAACGCAUUGUCCGUCGGAGAAAAAUGCGACAUUUCUCCAGAUGAUCUUUUUAUCGAAUUGCGAUCUCUCUCCCAUCGAUUUCCUUUACCAAGCGAAGACGGAAAAAUAAUUGAUUCUAGUCCUCUUGCUGCCUUGACCUUUAUCGUUCAAAAUGGAUUGUCGUCAGUUUAUCCUAAUACUGUGAUUGCAUUACGAAUUUUGCUGACCCUUCCAGUUUCUGUUGCGCAAGGAGAAAAGUUUUUGCAAAUUGAAACUAAUAAAAACAUAUCUUCGCUCGUUAAUGGGACAAGAAAAACUAGAUGGGUUAGCAAUGAUUUCAAUCGAAAGAGAAAUUGUCGAAAAUAUUGAUCUCAAUGAAGCGAUUGAGGAAUUUGCCCAAAAAAAAUCGCGUAAAGUGCCGAUCUAAGUCUCACUAUUCGAUUUGCAAUUCAAUUUGCAAGAUAUUCUCGUGUCUCGUCAUUUAUCAGCAAUCUUGUAUCGUGUAUGAUUUUAAGUGAUACUGUUAUUUAUCCAGAAAUAUAACUAAUCCAGAUGUUAACUAAAGCUUAUGUUAAAAUCAACUAUAUGUUUUCGUAUAUAAAUUUUUUUAAGGGGCGGCAAAGCCGGGAAAAAAAAUUUGCACUCCUGUCAUUUUAGGGUCGGGGAGGCCCUGAAUCUAAGUAAAAUAUAAAUACGUAUCUGAGUCGUGACUUAACCAAUUCAAACUCAAACUUGGACUUUUAAGAUAGUCUGCUUGAACUACAAAACAUAUUAUCCAUCUAUGCCGCCCCUCAGAAAAAGUCAAGGGUGCAACCGCACACCUUGCACACCCUUAAGGGAGGCCCUGCUCAAUACGUCACGCAAGGGAGAAGAAGUGUCUGAAGAAACAAGAAGAAUCUGUCAAAAAAGGAAACUUUAUUCAAGUAACAGCGUUCCAACAAUGACUCCUGAGGGAAAUAAAAAUUCUUCGUGGUCAGGUACAAGGUACAAGAACUUUGCCAUCCUCCAAAUGGAUUGCUGAGAGCGCAGAGACCCAACCACUUUCCACGUACUUGAUUGCUUCAUGAAUGGUCUUGAUUGCAUUAAGUUGCAUUUUUGUAUCCCUGCUGUCUUGCAAUUAAAUACAUGUAAAGCUCAUGCUCUCU